ACCACUGGUCGGUUUGCGGGCAGUCCGCUUUGUAGGAGCCGUGGUACAGAGACCUCCUUACUUACCCCCCUUCUCCUUCGGCUGGAGCUCGGCGAGCGAGAGGCGGCGCUGGCGUUGGAGAGCGACGGCGGCGCGGCGGCGCCUGCGAACACCAGGGAAGCAGCCUCUAACGUUUGAGGGUCAAUCCAGAUGGAGAGAAGAUAGAGGAGAAAGAGCCGAAUGUGACCCAACCAUAGGUCAUCUCUUGCAACAUGGCACAUGCUGAAUAUUUAGCCCAGCAUUAGGAAGACAUGGAUCCAAAAGUAUUGAAAAAAUGACCAGUGUGUGUAAAGGAGACUCCGAGAUUGACUACCAGACUUCUAGAAUGAUGUAACCAUACCUACAUAGAUUGGCUCAACAUAGGCAAGUCUCCAGAGAAGGACAGGCCGGAGGAUACAGAGGUUUCUCUUUGCACAAUCAGGGCAAUCAUUUGGAGGAGUGGAACCUGGGGGUCACCUGUCAGGCUCCAGCACUGAACUAGAAUUUCAACCCAGUUGGAAAUAUUUGAUCUCCGCUUCCACAAGAAAAAGAACAAUUAAAGCCAGGGGUAGAAAUGAGAAACACCUCCAGGGCUUCUUUGGUCCCUUGAAAUACUUGGUUUCUGCAUUCCAAGACUAUGGUUAGACGAGUCAUCUUUCUCAUACUAAGCUACCAAGCAGCAGCUGCCUAGAGACAGCUUUGAGAUCUGGCCCCCAUUCAAUGAUUGUGACAUUCAGAGAUGACUGUUUCAGGGACCAGAGAAGAUGACAGCUUUCCUCCUCUGUCUUCAGAGAAAGCAACAGGCAGCUGGAUACACAACACUGGUUUCUAGCUAUUUUUCCUGCGUAUGUCUGUGCAUGCAUACAUGUGUAUUUGACAUAACUAAGGGCAAGGUCACGUUUUCAUUUUCUUUUUCUUGUUGCCCAGUGAGCCACACUCCUUCUCCCGAACUCUCAAGCCCCUAGCCACAACCCAGCCUUGAGUGAAGGAGAAACAUGAGAGUCUGAGGAGACUCAUCUUUUCAGUGGAAG
rnacentral:lncRNA from 10 species